rnacentral:tRNA from 2 species
GCUAACGUAGCUUACCUAAAGCACAACACUGAAGAUGUUAAGACGAGCCCUAGAAAGCUCCGUAAGCA